AUAUUGUCUGGUUGAAGUGUCCUU
rnacentral:piRNA from 1 species